CAGGGUUGUGAGUUCAGUCCUUGAGGGGGCCACUUAGGAAUCUGGGGCAAAAUCAGUAUUUGGUCCCGCUAGUAAAGGCAGCGGGCUGGACUCAAUGACUUUUGCCAAGUAGGAAAUACAGUAUCUAGUUGGGCUCAGUGUCUUUAUGCUUUAGUACUGCACAGGACAUCCGUUGUUCUGGAAGCAAUGACAGCUGCAAAGUAUAUUCUGUGCAAAUGAUGUUUCUUGUCAAACACAGUAACCAAGUCUUGAUCAUUGUAAAUGCUCUUCUCUUCUGUUUUUGUUUUUUUAAAGGAAAAGUGUCUUCAGUCAAGCCAGAGAAAUCGGCUAUCUUGGUGCUGAAAACAGUAGUUUUGACAUCGUCUAAACAGGAAUAAUCCAGGAACAGUGAGGAAAGGUAUGUGCACACUGGCCAUUUUGAGCCCUUUUCUUAAAAACUGUAUAACUAAAAAUGGCAUGCUGUUUCCU
rnacentral:lncRNA from 1 species